rnacentral:rRNA from 1 species
AUUGAACGCUGGCGGCAGGCCUAAUACAUGCAAGUCGAACGGUAGCACAGAGAGCUUGCUCUCGGGUGACGAGUGGCGGACGGGUGAGUAAUGUCUGGGAAACUGCCCGAUGGAGGGGGAUAACUACUGGAAACGGUAGCUAAUACCGCAUAACGUCGCAAGACCAAAGUGGGGGACCUUCGGGCCUCACACCAUCGGAUGUGCCCAGAUGGGAUUAGCUAGUAGGUGGGGUAAUGGCUCACCUAGGCGACGAUCCCUAGCUGGUCUGAGAGGAUGACCAGCCACACUGGAACUGAGACACGGUCCAGACUCCUACGGGAGGCAGCAGUGGGGAAUAUUGCACAAUGGGCGCAAGCCUGAUGCAGCCAUGCCGCGUGUAUGAAGAAGGCCUUCGGGUUGUAAAGUACUUUCAGCGGGGAGGAAGGCGGUGGAGUUAAUAACUUCACCGAUUGACGUUACCCGCAGAAGAAGCACCGGCUAACUCCGUGCCAGCAGCCGCGGUAA